AUUGAACGCUGGCGGCAGGCUUAACACAUGCAAGUCGAACGAGUGGCGGACGGGUGAGUAAUGCUUGGGAAUCUAGCUUAUGGAGGGGGAUAACUACGGGAAACUGUAGCUAAUACCGCGUACCAUAGGAUGAGCCCAAGUGGGAUUAGGGAGUUGGUGGGGUAAAGGCUCACCAAGCCGACGCUCUCUAGCUGGUCUGAGAGGAUGACCAGCCACCCUGGGACUGAGCGAAGGCCCAGACUCCUACGGGAGGCAGAAGUGGGGAAUAUUGCACAAGGGGCGCAAGCCGGAUGCAGCCAUGCCGCGUGUAUGAAGAAGGCCUUCGGGUUGUAAAGUACUUUCAGCGGGGAGGCGUUACCCGCAGAAGAAGCACCGGCUAACUCCGUGCCAGCAGCCGCGGUAAUAC
rnacentral:rRNA from 1 species